rfam:Pan troglodytes isolate Yerkes chimp pedigree #C0471 (Clint) chromosome 14, whole genome shotgun sequence.
UAUUAGGUUGGUGCAAAAGUAAUCGCGGUUUUUGCCACUGAGAGUAAUGGCAAAAACAGUGAUUACUUUUGCACCAACCUAAUA